GCGCCUCGGUGUACGUUAUAAGCCGCUUGGACUGGGCGGCUGCUCUCACGUCCACAAGAAAAAUUAUACCGUACACUGGGCUCUAGCCGCAAGACUCCGGCUAGUCUAGCGCCUCGGUGUACGUUAUAAGCCGCUUGGACUGGGCGGCUGCUCUCACGUCCACA